rnacentral:rRNA from 1 species
GACGUAGGUGGCGAACGUUAUCCGGAAUUAUUGGGCGUAAAGGGUGCGUAGGUGGUCUGAUAAGUUAUCAGUGGCAAAUCGAGGCUCAACCUCGCGGAAACUGGUAAUACUGUCCGACUUGAGUACAGGAGAGGUUAACGGAACUCUAUGUGGAGCGGUAAAAUGCAUUGAGAUCGGAAAGAACACCAACGGCGAAAGCACUCUGCUGGGCCGACACUGACACUGAGAGACGAAAGCUAGGGGAGCAAAUGGG